rnacentral:rRNA from 1 species
GAUGAACGCUAGCGGCAGGCUUAACACAUGCAAGUCGAGGGGUAUAUUUCUUCGGAGAUAGAGACCGGCGCACGGGUGCGUAACGCGUAUGCAAUCUACCUUUUUACAGAGGGAUAGCCCAGAGAAAUUUGGAUUAAUACCUCAUAGUAAAAUGACUCGGCAUCGAGAUAUUAUUAAAGUCACAACGGUAAAAGAUGAGC